GUGCUCGCUUCGGCAGCACAUAUGCUAAAAUUGGAACAAGACAGAGAAGAUUAGCACGGCCCCUGAACAAGAAUAUAAAAUUAUACAAUGAAAAAAUGAAGUAUUUU